AGAUGUGAGGGCAAUCUGACUGCGACAUCUGUCACCCCAUUGAUGGCCAGGGCUGAUUCGGCUGAUCUGGCUGGCUAGGUGGGUGUCCCCCUCCUCCCUCAGUACUCCAUGUGCGUCCCUCCCGAAGCUGUACUUGGUGGAAGAGGACGACCAUCCCCAAUAAAGGAGGACCUAUUUUUGGUCAAGGGUAUACGAGUAGCUGCGCUCUCCUGCUAGAACCUCCAAACAAGCUCUCAAGAUCUACAAGACACUAUGUUGAAAAGAACUUUACAACUUGGG
rfam:Dipodomys ordii contig_73259, whole genome shotgun sequence.